rnacentral:rRNA from 1 species
GAUGAACGCUGGCGGCGUGCCUAAUACAUGCAAGUCGAGCGAACAGACGAGGAGCUUGCUCCUCUGACGUUAGCGGCGGACGGGUGAGUAACACGUGGAUAACCUACCUAUAAGACUGGGAUAACUUCGGGAAACCGGAGCUAAUACCGGAUAAUAUAUUGAACCGCAUGGUUCAAUAGUGAAAGACGGUUUUGCUGUCACUUAUAGAUGGAUCCGCGCCGCAUUAGCUAGUUGGUAAGGUAACGGCUUACCAAGGCAACGAUGCGUAGCCGACCUGAGAGGGUGAUCGGCCACACUGGCACUGAGACACGGUCCAGACUCCUACGGGAGGCAGCAGUAGGGAAUCUUCCGCAAAGGGCGAAAGCCUGACGGAGCAACGCCGCGUGAGUGAUGAAGGUCUUCGGAUCGUAAAACUCUGUUAUUAGGGAAGAACAAAUGUGUAAGUAACUAUGCACGUCUUGACGGUACCUAAUCAGAAAGCCACGGCUAACUACGUG